rnacentral:rRNA from 1 species
AGUGAACGCUGGCGGUAGGCCUAACACAUGCAAGUCGAACGGCAGCGCAGUAAGAGCUUGCUCUUACGGGUGGCGAGUGGCGGACGAGUGAGGAAUACAUCGGAAUCUACUUUUUCGUGGGGGAUAACGUAGGGAAACUUACGCUAAUACCGCAUACGACCUACGGGUGAAAGCAGGGGAUCUUCGGACCUUGCGCGAUUGAAUGAGCCGAUGUCGGAUUAGCUAGUUGGCGGGGUAAAGGCCCACCAAGGCGACGAUCCGUAGCUGGUCUGAGAGGAUGAUCAGCCACACUGGAACUGAGACACGGUCCAGACUCCUACGGGAGGCAGCAGUGGGGAAUAUUGGACAAUGGGCGCAAGCCUGAUCCAGUCAUACCGCGUGGGUGAAGAAGGCCUUCGGGUUGUAAAGCCCUUUUGUUGGGAAAGAAAAGCAGCAGGUUAAUACCCCGCUGUUCUGACGGUACCCAAAGAAUAAGCACCGGCUAACUUCGUG